rnacentral:tRNA from 1 species
CGAUGUGACGGGCCGAACGGCCCGUGGCGACGAUCAUGUGAUCGGCGAUGCUCGAUUUGCCCGCCAGAUCAAUCACC